AUGGUUUGGUGACCCCCGUGAAAUGGUCAUUCGACCCCAAAUGGGGUCCCGACCCACAGGUUGAGAAACACUGCGAGUCUAGCAAAAGGGGCAGAAAGUAGACAGGUGCCAAAGUAUUUGUAAAAGACAGUAAUUAUUUGACUAGUUAUAUGUAUACAAGCCAAAGGGAAGUAAGUCUCAGAAUGAAAGUACUGAACCAACAGUAGCCAGUAUUAUCAGAUUCUAGGCAGUUUUAUAUUUAAAUAAUACAUUAGAUUCAUAAAGGAAAAGGUGAUCAUAGUUAAAUGUUCACCGUGAAUGUUCUCUUGUAAAGAUCUAUGAAAUCACAGUGAGGUUUUUUUUUUUUUUAAUUUUGUACUAGUCUCCAAAAAUGUAGAGGAAAUAGUUAUAAACAAGAUUUUGGACAUCCUGUUCUAAACAGAGACGAGUAUUAGAGGAUUUCUCCUCUGUCUCACAGUUACCAAAUCCGAUGCCAUAAUUUGAUUAUGGAUGUUGCUGGGCAUAACUUGCUACUUUUGUUAACAAACGUAACAUUCGUUCUUCAGAUGUAUUUUUGAAUAAAAAGAUGAUUUGCUUGGUUCUACUUUUAGGAGUUGAUUUGCAACAGCAUCGUCUAAAAUAGUAUGAAUGAUUGGCACGUACGUUUUCCCCUCAAAAUGAAAAUAUUCAUAUUAAGAAAAUGUAAUUUUAUCAGUCUUCCUCUUAAAAAGCACAUGCCUACAAACAUCAUUUCUGGUUGCAAAUCUCCCACCACAGCUUCAUGGAGCAGAGUUGGUUUGUUUUUUUAAUCAAAUAGACUUCCACCAAUAUGACUCAAGCCAAGUAAGGCCUUUUCACGUAUGUUUUUUGCAAAUGCAUUUGGAAUUGCAGGUCACAUAGGAGAAAUAUCAAAACUGACAAUCAAGCAGAACAAUGUCUACGUGAGAAGAGUUUUUUAAAAAGUAUUUUCCAAAACUUCCCUUCUUUGCUUCCCCCUAACUAGUCUUUGUUUUUCAAGAUGCCUCUUAUCACGAAAAUACGUUUUUUGGUAGACUCUGUCAAAUUAUUAAAACCCACCAAAAAAAAAAAAAAAUCCACCAUAAAAUAGCCCUGCAUGAAAUUUUGACUUCUUUGUAAGGGUGGACAAUUCUUUCAAAAUGCUUAAGCCAAGAUCUAGCCUAGGAAAUUAACCCAUUCAUGUCUGAGCUAGGAAAAGUGCUCUGCUUUCUGGCCGAUAUUGUGGCUGUUGUUGCUUUUUGUACUUGAACCAUUCAGCUUGUAUUGAUCUGGCCAGCUCUGGUGAUUUACCUUGUAUCUUUGACUUGUGAAGGAAAGCCCGAGUUGAGACUGGAGCUUUCAUCGUCCUUUGGUUUGCCUGUGACUACUUAGUUGGCUGCCUAUAUAAUUGCCACAGGAUUUAACUGAUCAGUUUUGUGAACAACUUCAAAGUCUAAACUUUGCAAUACCUUUUCAGUUUGUGUUAGAUGCGAAGAACUUUAUAUCACAUGAUGCAUGACUACUCUUUGUACAGUUGCUAAAUAUACCUUAGCAUUUUGGAACAGAUUGUGCCUCGUAAUUGUUGGAGUUCUUUGACCUAGUGUUCUCAUUCAUGGUGGUAUUCUGAAAAUGAGUCUGGAUUAAAAUACACAACUUUAUACUUUCUUUGAUAGCAAAAAUCCAUGUGGAGUAGCUCUUGCAUAACUAAGGUGUAAUCAGAUGUAGUAAUAAAUAGUGUUCAUACUACUGUUCUACAGAAUAAAAUUGCUGAUCGUAGUUUAACAAAGUGAGGUGACUGAUUGGUUGACCUUUUUCCAAUUCUCUUUUUAAACUUUUUAAUGCAUUUUUAUUAGGAAUAUUUGGUAUAAAAUUCAGCAAGCUAUGUACAGAUUACAAACAAGGGAUAAAAAUAGUAUCCUUGUUGGAACACCAUUUACCUCAAUAUAUUCAACCAGCAGUACUUUUUUUUUUUAAUGCACACCACUCAAGCCCAUAUAAGAUGUUACCUCUCAAAAUAUUGGUAAGCAAUUAUUUUAGCUUUACUUGGUACUUGUCAGUGUUCUAGGCACAGGUUGUUGUACUACUGUCAAAUUGCUCUUGCUAUUUUUCGGCAAGUAUUUAAGAAUAACCCCAUCCUGGAUAAAAGUGAUUGUGAAAUAUUGUAUAAAUGUAUGCUUCUCUUUCCCUAUUCCCACAGAACAAUAAAUAAAAAAAUUAAGUGACUACUAUGA